GACGUAGGAGGCGAGCGUUGUCCGGAUUCAUUGGGCGUAAAGAGCUCGUAGGCGGUGUGUCGCGUCGGCCGUGAAAACCUGCAGCUUAACUGUGGGCGUGCGGUCGAUACGGGCAUCACUGGAGUUCGGCAGGGGAGACUGGAAUUCCUGGUGUAGCGGUGAAAUGCGCAGAUAUCAGGAGGAACACCAGUGGCGAAGGCGGCCUUCUGGCUCGCAACUGACGCUGUAGCGCGAAAGCGUGGGGAGCGAACGGG
rnacentral:rRNA from 1 species